rnacentral:ncRNA from 12 species
GUUAUUUAAGGCUCGGAAAGGCUCCCGACACUCCUUCUUUUCGGAAGGAACCUGAGAUGAUGGAUACGCCGCCCAUCUAAAUAAC